GAUGAACGCUAGCUACAGGCUUAACACAUGCAAGUCGAGGGGAAACGACAUUGAAGCUUGCUUCGAUGGGCGUCGACCGGCGCACGGGUGAGUAACGCGUAUCCAACCUGCCUCUGACUAAGGGAUAACCCGGCGAAAGUCGGACUAAUACCUUAUGAGGUUUUCUGCAGACAUCUAAUGAAAACGAAAGAUUUAUCGGUCAGCGAUGGGGAUGCGUCUGAUUAGCUUGUUGGCGGGGUAACGGCCCACCAAGGCAACGAUCAGUAGGGGUUCUGAGAGGAAGGUCCCCCACAUUGGAACUGAGACACGGUCCAAACUCCUACGGGAGGCAGCAGUGAGGAAUAUUGGUCAAUGGGCGCGAGCCUGAACCAGCCAAGUAGCGUGCAGGAUGACGGCCCUAUGGGUUGUAAACUGCUUUUGUAUGGGGAUAAAGUCAAUCACGUGUGAUUGUUUGCAGGUACCAUACGAAUAAGGACCGGCUAAUUCCGUGCCAGCAGCCGCGGUAAUACGGAAGGUCCGGGCGUUAUCCGGAUUUAUUGGGUUUAAAGGGAGCGUAGGCCGGAGAUUAAGUGUGUUGUGAAAUGUAGACGCUCAACGUCUGACUUGCAGCGCAUACUGGUUUCCUUGAGUACGCACAACGUCGGCGGAAUUCGUCGUGUAGCGGUGAAAUGCUUAGAUAUGACGAAGAACUCCGAUUGCGAAGGCAGCUGACGGGAGCGCAACUGACGCUUAAGCUCGAAGGUGCGGGUAUCGAACAGG
rnacentral:rRNA from 1 species